rnacentral:lncRNA from 1 species
CAGAGGCUGAGUGCGACAUGCCGUCACUUUGUCCUUAUGGUUUGUACCCGCCCGGCCUGAGAGGUGCUGUAUUUGCACAUUUCAGCCCCCUGAGCACUGACGGGUGGUGAAUAUGGAGCAGUGGGGCCCAGGCUGCACUCUCUACUUCGUUUCUCCUUCACCCUGGGCAAAAAGCUAGCAGGCUUUCCUGUUUCCGAGCUGACUGUGUGAUCUGAGCUGACUCUGAAACCUGUCAAGCACAAUGCCUGCUGUGGGAGCCACCUUCUCCAACUGACACCGCCUGACCCCAGCUUCCAGCUCACUCCCCGCUCUGUGAAGGAAGCAGCUCCAGCAUUUGUCCCUGGAGGGUCUCUGAAAGUCCAGGUCAGCCCCUGGGCUGGGUCCCCACAGUAAGAAGAGAACUGUGAUGGGCAACACCCCAGAAAAGAAGACUUGCAGCCUCACUUCAGG